UUACAUAACAUAUGAAUGUUUAUACAUCUGUGUGUGUUUAUAUAUAUAUUUGAAGGUCUUCGUCGGCAAUCGAGUGAGAUUAUUAUGACAGUCGUGUCAGUGCGACCAGGAAGUGCUUUGAGUACAGAGUAUCUACCUACCGAUAGGGUGAAAAUAAUAAUAAAGAAAACAAACUCGGCACGGCCCAGUCUGUUUGGAGGUGCUGUCUGCCGUAAAACGACAAUAUAAUAUUAUAGUCGAACGGUAUAUUAUACAUGCAGCACGAUGUUACUUUUGGAAAGCCUGCAAAAGUAUAAUUGAAAACGUUUUCAAACAAUAGUAAUAACUGUCGUGUAUGGACAUUGGAGGACAGUAUCUAUAUAGACCCGGAUCGGUUGAUGGUUAAAAACGAAUGAUUUCAGCGGAAAUGACGUCAUUAAUGCUUUGACAUUAUCGUUCGAAAUUUUGGACCAUAAUUUUUUUUCAAAACAGCGUUUUUAUAGACAAUCAUUACUUCGUUUAGAAUAAAUUUUUUUUAUAAUUAAAUUACGAAUUUUACCUAAAAAUAACAUAUCAGAGGUAAAUCAAAAUUUUUUUAAACUUAUUUAGU